rnacentral:tRNA from 1 species
GAUGGGUAUAGCUCCGGGGCAGAGCACCUGCUUAGCAUGCAUGAGGGCCUGGGUUCGAUCCCUAGUACUUUCA